rnacentral:rRNA from 1 species
UGAGCAAUCUGCCCUUCUCAUCGGAAUAAGCGUUGGAAACGACGUCUAAUGCCGAAUACGACCUCCUUUCGCAUGAUCGGAGGUGGAAAGCUCCGGCGGGGAAGGAUGAGCUCGCGGCCUAUCAGCUAGUUGGUGUGGGUAAUGGCCCACCAAGGCGACGACGGGUAGCCGGCCUGAGAGGGUGACCGGCCACACUGGGACUGAGACACGGCCCAGACCUCCGUACGGGAGGNAGCG